CAGAAGUGGUGUAUUCCGGGAAGUUGAGCAUUAUCGAGAAGAAGAAGAAGAGGGUGGAGAGCAUCGGGAUGAGUUUUCCGGCCAUGUUUGUGAGAAUUGAGAGUAGGGAGAGGGUUAGGGUGAGGAAAUGAAUGGAGAGUGAGUGGAGGACGAAGAGUCGUUGAAUGAGGUGGGUGAUGAGUCACUGAUGACCUAUUAAUUUGACCGUUUAUGAGCCUCCUUUUAAUUUGUGAUGGCAUGGCUCUCACAAACCAGAUGGCAACUUUACAACAUUCCUCACUGCAUCUAGAUGAGACGCAUGCACAGCUCAUACUUAGUCACAUUAUUGCGUUCUCUGCAAAUUAAUGUCUUCGUUUACUCUGACAAGUUCGGGACCUACCAAGGAAAGCCUAUACAUUCUUUCACCUACCAUGUAGGGUUAGGACUAAGAGUUAACUGGACCAAUCAAGAUGGGGCAUCACAAAAAAUCAGUACUGACAAUGACUUGGUGGCCUGCGUGUGAUAAGAACGACGUCCUGCCAAGCUCACGGAUCUUAUACUACCCAUUAAACCUUUAAAUCGUAUUCAACUCGUCGAGUAGGAAAUUCAAAUUAUUUAUCAUAAGAAAAUCCCUUUCAGCUUGGAUUGGACUGAAUUUUCCUUCCUACUCUUUCGAAAAAGCCUCCUUCAUGUGUCGUAUUUGUUGUGUUUAUGGGAAGACAGGUUUGAUUUAGGGGGUUGUGAGAAUCAAAUCAUGGAAACGGAGACAAGUGGAAAAAUUGCGGUUGAAGCGUCAAUAUUGCUGACUUCGGACGUCUGAUUCGAUUAAUUCGCGAGACUGAUUCCACACGCAACGAGAGAAGAAAAAAAAAAAAGGCAUGGUUGGAAAGUAUCAGUGCCAUGUGGCUUCAGUCCUCGACUCCUCGCACACGUCAAGGCUUUAUUGAAUCAGAGCGCAGUGGCAGACCCUUAUGAUGCAGUAAGUGUAAAUCUGGUUCGGAAAUUACAAAAGGUGAAAUUAAGCAAGACUUUGUCCUAAAUUUGAUUUUGUCGGUGGAUCAUCAUUUCUUUCUUUCAGUGUCUUCUUUUUGUAAUCUGUUAUACCUGUCCAUGAUUCUAACGGCGGAAGAUAUAAGAAAGUAUUUUUUUUCUUAUUAAA